CCUUCGAUAGCUCAGUUGGUGAGAGCGGAGGACUGUAGAUCCUUAGGUCGCUGGUUCAAAUCCGGCUCGAAGGA